AGCUCCAAUAGCGUAUAUUAAUGUUGUUGCGGUUAAAAAGCUCGUAGUUGGAUCUCCUGGGCCGAUGCACGGUCUUGUCGAUUGACAGGACUGUCGUCUGGCCUUGACAGCGAGCCGUCGGGUCUAGUGCUCUUGACCGAGUGUUAGUUCCGCGGCUCAAUUUUACUUUGAAAAAAUUAGAGUGCUCAGAGCAGGCUUUACACGCUUGAAUAAUGGAAUAGGACGUCGUUUCUAUUUUGUUGGUUUCUCGAAAUCGACGUAAUGAUCAAUAGGGACAGUUGGGGGCAUUAGUAUUGAAGCGACAGAGGUGAAAUUCUUGGACCGCUUCAAGACUCACUACUGCGAAAGCAUUUGCCAAGAAUGUUUUCA
rnacentral:rRNA from 1 species